AACGAACGCUGGCGGCAGGCUUAACACAUGCAAGUCGAGCGCCCCGCAAGGGGAGCGGCAGACGGGUGAGUAACGCGUGGGAAUCUACCCAUCUCUACGGAAUAACGCAUGGAAACGUGUGCUAAUACCGUAUACGUCCUUCGGGAGAAAGAUUUAUCGGAGAUGGAUGAGCCCGCGUUGGAUUAGCUAGUUGGUGGGGUAAAGGCCUACCAAGGCGACGAUCCAUAGCUGGUCUGAGAGGAUGAUCAGCCACACUGGGACUGAGACACGGCCCAGACUCCUACGGGAGGCAGCAGUGGGGAAUAUUGGACAUUAGUCGCAAGCCUUAUCCAGCCAUGCCGCGUGAGUGAUGAAGGCCCUAGGGUUGUAAAGCUCUUUCACCGGUGAAGAUAAUGACGGUAACCGGAGAAGAAGCCCCGGCUAACUUCGUGCCAGCCGCCGCGGUAACAC
rnacentral:rRNA from 1 species